CACUGCCCGCGUCCCUCAGUGCCGCAGCCCCACGGCUCCGAACACCGCAGGGAUGUGACCCCCCCGGGCAGCUGUGCGGUGCUGAGCGCUCUUUAGGAGAAGAAAUUCCUCCCAGCAGCCAACCCGGCCGCCCUCCGAUACAUCGGCAUUUCUGCCCGCAGGAACAUCGACCCUCCCGGCAGCACCGCUACAGGACAGAAGGCGGAGGAGGGACGCAGGGGGGAAUCGUUUUCCAACACGAAAGCACUCCUUCCCGCGAGCCGCGCGUUCCCCGCCAGGGCCCACCAGGAGCCCGCAGCUCCGCGGAGCCCUCGGGGCAGCGCAGGGCCGGGCGGCCGGGACGAGGCCUCCGGGGGCCGCCGGGCCGGGUCGGGGCCGGGCGGGGCGAGCGCGGGCGGAGGAGGGCGGAGCGCGGGGCGGUCGCCCCUGGAGACGGCAGCGGGCGGAGGACGGCGGCGGGUCAUUGCACAAAUAAAAGCCAAGCAAGGCAGACGAGUUACAGGACUGCCUAUGUAGACAAAAGAAUUCGCUGAAGGCCACGGAACCUGAGGCCGGGCAGCGUCUUGUGACUCCCAGUCUGGUGCUUUGACUGCUGACUGCUCCCGCUUUACAUGCUGUAAGAUCAACAGAUUUUGGUACAACCAGAG
rnacentral:lncRNA from 1 species